rnacentral:lncRNA from 1 species
ACAUGCAUUUUCUUUCUUCCUUUUUGAGCGUGUGAUUUCUUUCUUUCUUUCUUCUCUUCUGCUCCCUUUUUCCCCCUUCCUCUCCUCCUUUUGGUGGGUCUGAGGCAUCUGAGCUUUGGAAACCAGCGACUUCAAACUGCAGUAGCCCCUGGAGUCAGCAGGGUCAAGUUCAGCCGCCGGGGAGGAGGAAAAACAAAUCCCCAUUUGCCAAAAAAAGAAGUUUCAGGCCGGUGCCCCCUCCCCCUCGCAGCCCCACUCCCCCUCGCUGUCUCUUUCUGGCUGAUUUUAAUUCUCUCCUACCGGGCGCAGCGGAGGAGCUGGAGGUGGUUGGACCCGAGGGGCCGCCGCCGCCGCCGCCACUGCAAGUUUUCUGGGGGCUCGUGACAAGCGGGGCGCAGACUAGGCACCAGCAUGCAGAGUAAUGUACAGAUCAGCUCUCAAAAUGUCUUCUGUGUCUUCUGAGCGUCUUCUAAGACAAUUGCAUUAGCCUCCUGCUAGUUGACUAAUAGAAUUAAUAAUUGUAAAAAGCACUCUAAAGCCACAUGCCUUAUGAAGUCAAUGCUGGGUAU